rnacentral:rRNA from 1 species
UACGAACGGGGCUAGCGUUGCUCGGAAUCACUGGGCGUAAAGCGCACGUAGGCGGCUUUUUAAGUCAGGGGUGAAAUCCUGGAGCUCAACUCCAGAACUGCCUUUGAUACUGAGAAGCUUGAGUCCGGGAGAGGUGAGUGGAACUGCGAGUGUUAGAGGUGAAAUUCGUAGAUAUUCGCAAGAACACCAGUGGCGAAGGCGGCUCACUGGCCCGGUACUGACGCUGAGGUGCGAAAGCGUGGGGAGCAAACAGG